rnacentral:rRNA from 1 species
ACAUGCAAGUCAAGGGGUAGCAAUACACCGGCGUACGGGUGCGUAACGCGUAUGGAACCUGCCCUUAUCUGGGGGAUAACUCGGGGAAACUCGAGCUAAUACCGCAUAAGAUAGUAGAAUGGCAUCAUUCAGCUAUUAAAGAUUUAUCGGAUAAGGAUGGCCAUGCGUAAGAUUAGAUAGUUGGCGAGGUAACGGCUCACCAAGUCUACGAUCUUUAGGGGCUCUGAGAGGAGAAUCCCCCACACUGGCACUGAGAUACGGGCCAGACUCCUACGGGAGGCAGCAGUAGGGAAUAUUGGGCAAUGGGCGCAAGCCUGACCCAGCCACGCCGCGUGCAGGAAGACGGCCCUCUGGGUUGUAAACUGCUUUUGACUGGGAAGAAAAGACUCCUUGCGAGGAGAGUUGACGGUACCAGCAGAAUAAGCCACGGCUAACUACGUGCCAGCAGCCGCGGUAAUACGUAGGUGGCGAGCGUUAUCCGGAUUUAUUGGGUUUAAAGGGUGCGUAGGCGGCUGAUUAAGUCAGCGGUGAAAGGUAGCAGCUUAACUGUUUUACAUGCCGUUGAUACUGGUUAGCUUGAGUUAACAGAAGGCAGAUAGAAUUUCUGGUGUAGCGGUGAAAUGCUUAGAUACCAGGAGGAAUACCGAUUGCGAAGGCAGUCUGCUGCAGUUACACUGACGCUGAGGCACGAAAGUGCGGG